CCUACGUGAUGCAGCAGUGAGGAAUAUUGGUCAAUGGGCGCGAGCCUGAACCAGCCAAGUAGCGUGAAGGCUGACGGCCCUACGGGUCGUAAACCUCUUUUAUAAAGGAAUAAAGUGCGGCACGCGUCCCGCUUCGCAUGUACCUUAUGAAUAAGGAUCGGCUAACUCCGUGCCAGCAGCCGCGGUAAUACGGAGGAUCCGAGCGUUAUCCGGAUUUAUUGGGUUUAAAGGGAGCGUAGAUGGGUUGUUAAGUCAGUUGUGAAAGUUUGCGGCUCAACCAUAAAAUUGCAAUUGAUACUGGGAGUCUUGAGUACGGUUGAGGAAGGCGGAAUUCGUGGUGUAGCGGUGAAAUGCUUAGAUAUCACGAAGAACUCCGAUUGCGAAGGCAGCUUGCUAAGC
rnacentral:rRNA from 1 species